AACGCACAUUGCGCCCCUUGGUAUUCCAUGGGGCAUGCCUGUUCGAGCGUCAUUUGUACCUUCAAGCUCUGCUUGGUGUUGGGUGUUUGUCCCCGCGUUAUGCGCGGACUCGCCUCAAAGCAAUUGGCAGCCGGCGUACUGGCCUUGGAGCGCAGCACAUUUUGCGCCCCUCAGCUUGAACGCUUGCGUCCAUUAAGCCUACAAUUUUUGCUCUUGACCUCGGAUCAGGUAGGGAUACCCGCUGAACUUAA
rnacentral:misc_RNA from 1 species